rnacentral:tRNA from 1 species
AUCCACAUAGUUUAAUAAAAACCUUUCAUUUUCAUUGAAAAUUUGAGCAAAGCUCUGUAGAUA